GACUCUAAUUAAUAGACAUACGGCGUAAAGCGUGUUUAAGAAAAUCUACAACAAUAAAGCCAAACCUUAGCUAAGCUGUAAAAAGCCACAGCUACCGGAAGCCCAACUACGAAAGUAACUUUAAAGUAUCUGAAGACACGAAAACUGAGAUCCAAACUGGGAUUAGAUACCCCACUAUGCUCAGCCCUAAACCUAAAAAAUUAGCACAACAAAAUUCUUCGCCAGAGUACUACUAGCCAAAGCUUAAAACUCAAAGGACUUGGCGGUGCUUUAUAUCCCUCUAGAGGAGCCUGUUCUAUAAUCGAUAAACCCCGAUAAACCCUACCAACCCUUGCCAAUG
rnacentral:rRNA from 1 species